rnacentral:rRNA from 1 species
GACGAACGCUGGCGGCGUGCCUAAUACAUGCAAGUUGAGCGCUGAAGGUUGGUACUUGUACCAACUGGAUGAGCAGCGAACGGGUGAGUAACGCGUGGGGAAUCUGCCUUUGAGCGGGGGACAACAUUUGGAAACGAAUGCUAAUACCGCAUAAAAACUUUAAACACAAGUUUUAAGUUUGAAAGAUGCAAUUGCAUCACUCAAAGAUGAUCCCGCGUUGUAUUAGCUAGUUGGUGAGGUAAAGGCUUACCAAGGCGAUGAUACAUAGCCGACCUGAGAGGGUGAUCGGCCACAUUGGGACUGAGACACGGCCCAAACUCCUACGGGAGGCAGCAGUAGGGAAUCUUCGGCAAUGGACGAAAGUCUGACCGAGCAACGCCGCGUGAGUGAAGAAGGUUUUCGGAUCGUAAAACUCUGUUGGUAGAGAAGAACGUUGGUGAGAGUGGAAAGCUCAUCAAGUGACGGUAACUACCCAGAAAGGGACGGCUAACUACGUG